rnacentral:rRNA from 1 species
GUGCCAGCAGCCGCGGUAAAACGUAGGUGGCAAGCGUUAUCCGGAUUUACUGGGCGUAAAGCGUGUGCAGGCGGUCUGACAAGUGGUGUAUGAAAUCGCCCGGCUCAACCGGGUGGGGUUAUGCCAGACUGUUAGACUGGAGUCUGAAAGAGGGGGGUGGAAUUCCGGGUGUAGUGGUGAAAUGCGUAGAGAUCCGGAGGAACCCCAGAGGCGAAGGCGGCCCCCUGGUUCAGGACUGACGCUCAGACACGACAGCAUGGGGAGCGAACGGGAUUAGAUACCCCAGUAGUCC